rnacentral:rRNA from 1 species
UACGGAGGAUGCAAGCGUUAUCCGGAUUCAUUGGGUUUAAAGGGUGCGUAGGCGGCCUUUUAAGUCAGUGGUGAAAUCUUGCCGCUUAACGGUAAAAUUGCCAUUGAUACUGAAAGGCUUGAGUACAGUUGAGGUAAGCGGAAUGUGUAGUGUAGCGGUGAAAUGCUUAGAUAUUACACAGAACACCAAUUGCGAAGGCAGCUUACUAAACUGAUACUGACGCUGAUGCACGAAAGCGUGGGGAGCGAACAGG